UACAGAGGUGGCAAGCGUUGUUCGGAAUUAUUGGGCGUAAAGAGCUUGUAGGCGGUUUGUCGCGUCUGCUGUGAAAUUUCGGGGCUCAACCCCGAACUUGCAGUGGGUACGGGCAGACUAGAGUGUGGUAGGGGAGACUGGAAUUCCUGGUGUAGCGGUGAAAUGCGCAGAUAUCAGGAGGAACACCGGUGGCGAAGGCGGCUUGCUGGGCCUUACCUGACGCUGAGGAGCGAAAGCGUGGGGAGCGAACAGG
rnacentral:rRNA from 1 species